rnacentral:ncRNA from 1 species
AGGGUAGAGGUAGCUGUAACUAAGAGUAUCCAAUAGUAGCUGGCAGGCGUUAAUGAUUGGAAAAAGGAUUUACAGCCGAAGAAAAUAUUUCUUGCAAUUAUAUUUUCUGGGAUUACACAUAACAUGUGUAAUACUGUCACUUAUAUUAUAAGUGAUGAGCUACAGGG